AGUAGAGCAGUCUGGUAGCUCGUCGGGCUCAUAACCCGGAGGUCGCUGGUUUAAAUCCAGCCCCCGCUACCA
rnacentral:tRNA from 1 species